rnacentral:rRNA from 1 species
GAUGAACGCUGGCGGCGUGCCUAAUACAUGCCAGUCGAACGAAACUUCUUUAUCACCGAGUGCUUGCACUCACCGAUAAAGAGUUGAGUGGCGAACGGGUGAGUAACACGUGGGCAACCUGCCCAAAAGAGGGGGAUAACACUUGGAAACAGGUGCUAAUACCGCAUAACCAUAGUUACCGCAUGGUAACUAUGUAAAAGGUGGCUAUACUACCGCUUUUGGAUGAGCCCGCGGCGCAUUAGCUAGUUGGUAGGGUAAAGGCUUACCAAGGCAAUGAUGCGUAGCCGAAUUGAGAGGUUGAUCGGCCACAUUGGGACUGAGACACGGCCCAAACUCCUACGGGAGGCAGCAGUAGGGAAUCUUCCACAAUGGGCGAAAGCCUGAUGGAGCAACGCCGCGUGGGUGAAGAAGGUCUUCGGAUCGUAAAACCCUGUUGUUAGAGAAGAAAGUGCGUGAGAGUAACUGUUCACGUUUCGACGGUAUCUAACCGGAAAGCCACGGCUAACUACGUG